rnacentral:sRNA from 18 species
CCUAGUUCUGACGAAUUAGGCUCAGCUAUGCCGUGCUUUCAGCACU